GGGGUUGUAGCUCAGUGGUAGAGUGCUUGCCUUGCAUGUAUGAGUCGCUGAGUUCGAUCCUCAGCACCA
rnacentral:tRNA from 1 species